CCUACGGGUGGCUGCAGUGGGGAAUAUUGGACAAUGGGGGGAACCCUGAUCCAGCCAUGCCGCGUGUGUGAAGAAGGCCCUCGGGUUGUAAAGCACUCUCAGUGAGGAAGAACGCCUGGUGGUUAAUACCCAUCAGGAAAGACAUCACUCACAGAAGAAGCACCGGCUAACUCCGUGCCAGCAGCCGCGGUAAUACGGAGGGUGCGAGCGUUAAUCGGAAUUACUGGGCGUAAAGCGCGCGUAGGUGGCUUGAUAAGCCGGUUGUGAAAGCCCCGGGCUCAACCUGGGAACGGCAUCCGGAACUGUCAAGCUAGAGUGCAGGAGAGGAAGGUAGAAUUCCUGGUGUAGCGGUGAAAUGCGUAGAGAUCGGGAGGAAUACCAGUGGCGAAGGCGGCCUUCUGGACUGACACUGACACUGAGGUGCGAAGGCGUGGGUAGCAAACAGGAUUAGAUACCCGAGUAGUC
rnacentral:rRNA from 1 species